CCGGGCGUGGCGGAAUUGGUAGACGCAACAGACUUAAAAUCUGUUGGGCGAAUGCCCGUGCCGGCA
rnacentral:tRNA from 1 species